rnacentral:rRNA from 1 species
CAGCCGCCGCGGGAAUACGAGGGGUGCAAGCGUUAAUCGGAAUUACUGGGCGUAAAGCGUGCGCAGGCGGUUGUGUAAGACAGGUGUGAAAUCCCCGGGCUUAACCUGGGAACUGCGCUUGUGACUGCACAGCUAGAGUAUGGCAGAGGGGGGUGGAAUUCCACGUGUAGCAGUGAAAUGCGUAGAGAUGUGGAGGAACACCGAUGGCGAAGGCAGCCCCCUGGGCCAAUACUGACGCUCAUGCACGAAAGCGUGGGGAGCAAACAGGAUUAGAUACCCCCGUAGUCCCUGUCUCUUAUAC